rnacentral:rRNA from 1 species
CUACGUAGGGUGCAAGCGUUAAUCGGAAUUACUGGGCGUAAAGCGUGCGCAGGCGGUUUUGUAAGACAGAGGUGAAAUCCCCGGGCUCAACCUGGGAACUGCCUUUGUGGCGGCAAGGCUAGAGUACGGCAGAGGGGGAUGGAAUUCCGCGUGUAGCAGUGAAAUGCGUAGAUAUGCGGAGGAACACCGAUGGCGAAGGCAAUCCCCUGGGCCUGUACUGACGCUCAUGCACGAAAGCGUGGGGAGCAAACAGGAUUAGAUACCCUGGUAGCCCACGCCCUAAACGAUGUCAACUGGUUGUUGGGUCUUCAUUGACUCAGUAACGAAGCUAACGCGUGAAGUUGACCGCCUGGGGAGUACGGCCGCAAGGUUGAAACUCAAAUGAAUUGACGGGG